GAUGAACGCUGGCGGCGUGCCUAAUACAUGCAAGUCGAGCGAACAGACGAGGAGCUUGCUCCUCUGACGUUAGCGGCGGACGGGUGAGUAACACGUGGAUAACCUACCUAUAAGACUGGGAUAACUUCGGGAAACCGGAGCUAAUACCGGAUAAUAUAUUGAACCGCAUGGUUCAAUAGUUAAAGACGGUUUUGCUGUCACUUAUAGAUGGAUCCGCGCCGCAUUAGCUAGUUGGUAAGGUAACGGCUUACCAAGGCGACGAUGCGUAGCCGACCUGAGAGGGUGAUCGGCCACACUGGAACUGAGACACGGUCCAGACUCCUACGGGAGGCAGCAGUAGGGAAUCUUCCGCAAUGGGCGAAAGCCUGACGGAGCAACGCCGCGUGAGUGAUGAAGGUCUUCGGAUCGUAAAACUCUGUUAUUAGGGAAGAACAAAUGUGUAAGUAACUAUGCACGUCUUGACGGUACCAAAUCAGAAAGCCACGGCUAACUACGUG
rnacentral:rRNA from 1 species